UUCUCAAAUCAAUUUGAUUGUGAUACUAUUACCACAUUGAGUGACAGCCAGGAGCAGUAUAGUUCUACAGAUAAUCUUUCAGAAGCCAGCCCUUCUUGUAACUCUUCACGUGAACCUGGUAGUUAUUUUCAUCGGCAGAGUCCCCCAUUGUCGCGAGAUGCAAAUUCUAGCAAGAACAUAAAAUACACAUUGCUGCAAUUGGAGACUGCUCUUAUGGCACCUGAUGAUGAUGAAGACAUGUCAAUAGCUGAUACUUCUUUGGGGGAAAGUAGUAGACCACAGACAUCAGGUCAGAGGACUGGGGCCUGGAGCCAGGAGCACCAUGUUUCUUGCGUGAUUCCGGCUCAUACAUCUAUUGAUUCUAGGCAUAGGCAAUCAGGUGAAGGUGCUGCUGUUGAGAAACAUCAAAAACCAUUGGAGGAAGCAAAAUUUCAAAGUAU
rnacentral:misc_RNA from 1 species